AAGGAUCAUUACCGAGUUAGGGUCUUCAAGGCCCGACCUCCAACCCUUUGUCUACCAUACCUCAUGUUGCUUCGGCGGGCCCGUCCUUAUGGACCGCCGGAGGGUUUUAACUACUCUCUGGCCCGUUGCCUGUCGAUAGCCCCCCAAAUCAAAACUCUUGUUAAGAAUCGUGUCGUCUGAAGCAAACAAACAAAAAUAAAUAAAAACUUUCAACAACGGAUCUCUUGGUUCUG
rnacentral:misc_RNA from 1 species